rnacentral:rRNA from 1 species
GGCUUAGUGGUGGGGUGACUGCGUACCUUUUGUAUAAUGGGUCAGCGACUUAUAUUCUGUAGCAAGGUUAACCGAAUAGGGGAGCCGGAGGGAAACCGAGUCUUAAUUGGGCGUUAAGUUGCAGGGUAUAGACCCGAAACCCGGUGAUCUAGCCAUGGGCAGGUUGAAGGUUGGGUAACACUAACUGGAGGACCGAACCGACUAAUGUUGAAAAAUUAGCGGAUGACCUGUGGCUGGGGGUGAAAGGCCAAUCAAACCGGGAGAUAGCUGGUUCUCCCCGAAAGCUAUUUAGGUAGCGCCUCGUGAAUUCAUCUCCGGGGGUAGAGCACUGUUUCGGCUAGGGGGCCAUCCCGGCUUACCAACCCGAUGCAAACUGCGAAUACCGGAGAAUGUUAUCACGGGAGACACACGGCGGGUGCUAACGUCCGUCGUGAAGAGGGAAACAACCCAGACCGCCAGCUAAGGUCCCAAAGUCAUGGUUAAGUGGGAAACGAUGUGGGAAGGCCCAGACAGCCAGGAUGUUGGCUUAGAAGCAGCCAUCAUUUAAAGAAAGCGUAAUAGCUCACUGGUCGAGUCGGCCUGCGCGGAAGAUGUAACGGGGCUAAACCAUGCACCGAAGCUGCGGCAGCGAACGUAUCACCCAAGACAACUUUACGGAGUUGACGAUUGACGGAG